UCAUGUAAUUGUCUUGGUUUGAUAAGACCUACAUCUAGAUGAGUUGCUUCUGAAGACUAAUGUAAAACUUUAUGUUGAUAUUUCUUGAGGGUGAAACAUCAUUUGAGAAACGUUUUGGGCCUCAUUACAGACCUACUAUUUUUUUUUCCUUUAAUUUUCUUGCUUUGAAUGUGAUGCUCAGUUCAGACCUACUAUCCUAUUUCUAAGAAAUUAAGCACAAGCUAUCUCAAGUUAUGGUCUUUAAUUAAUAUUAAUUUCCUCAAUCAGUUUCCCAUAUCUUUCAUUGAUAGGAACAUGGCUGAUGUCAUUGGUGUGACGCAAGAUUUGUUAAAAUAGCUGAUCGGAUUGAUUUUUUCUUUGUAUACCAUUCAAACUAAAUGUGUGGCUCAAUAAUUGGUAGAAACAUUUCCAAAUGCUUUAUAAAUGUUCUCUUAAUGCUAACGGAGAAUAUUUUGGGAAGACAAAAUAUUUGCAUUUCUCACGAAAAUGUGGGUGCUCAUUAAUUUUA
rnacentral:lncRNA from 1 species